rnacentral:lncRNA from 1 species
AUGGCUACCACCACCAUCACCACCAUCAUCACUAUCAUCAUCACUACCACCAUCAUCACCACAACCACCACCACCACCACCAUCACUAUCAUCAUCAUCAUCACCACCACCAUCAUCACCAUCAUUAUCACUACCACCAUCAUCACCAUAACCAUUACCAUCAUCAUCAUCAUUACCAUUAUGACUAUCAUCAUUAUCACCAUCAUCACCAUCAUUAUUACCAUCAUCAUCAUCACCAGCAUCAUCUGCAAUAGCAUCAUCUUUUCUUCUCCAAAGCUGAGAGUAGAGUUCAGGAUCACAGAGUAUGGCCAGAGCUCAGGCCAACUGGACAAAGCCUCUCUCGAUGACAGAUCUCAAUGGUCCAUCAGGAGAACAGCAGAAUGGAGAGCCCUGGCAGUCUAGGUAAGAGACAGCCAGCCGUGCACCAAGCACUGAGAAAGUAACCGUUGGAUCAGCCAAGGGCCUGUGCCUGCCAUCACCCAGAGCAGUUCGGGAAAGAGAAGCGUCCACCUCUUUCUGCAGAUGGCAGGCAGCACCGCUUCCUAGCUGUGUGACCUUGGCAGGCCACUUACCCUCUCUGGGCCUCGGUUCCUCAUCUGGAAAGUGGGGACAAGGAUGGAACCCACAGAAAAGACGAAGCUUGGGGAGCAAGCCUCAAUCUUUAGUAUCUGCAUGGUAAGGGUUAGUUCUGAUGGUUUAUCCAUUCCACUGUGUGCCAAGUUCUGCAAAUACAUUUUUUAAAAUAUUUUUUUAAAUUUAUUUAUUCAUGAGAGAUACACAGAGAGAGAGAGAGGCAGAGACACAGGCAGAGGGAGAAGCAGGCUUCAUGCAGGGAGCCCAACAUGGGAUCCCGGGUCUCCAGGAUCAGGCCCUGGGCUGAAGGGAGUGCUAAACCGCUGAGCCACCCGGGCUGCCCCUGCAAAUGCCUUUUAAUACAUCGACUCUUCCCAGCAACAUUGAGGCGCAUUUCGGAUCUACAGAAGCUGAGUUCCGCACGUUUAAAGCAACGUGUCCAACCCCAACUAAGUAACAAACAGCAAAAACAGGAUGCCAGCUCAGUUGUACCAGACCAAAGUGUGUGCAUUGAACCCUGGUACCUAUUGCAUCCUGCCCCGUCCACCCUGGAAGGAAUUCCCUACUUCUACCCGAUGAAGGAAAGGGACUUAUGGAUGGCGGUGCUGUGGCAUUUAUGUCUUAAGGGAUGGGUCUGACUAUAUCAGGGAGAAAUUGGGGAAGAAAGGGCCCAGGUACAGCAUGAAAAAAGGACUGAGGACCAGAGUGUAGGGCAUGCAUGGAGGAUAGUGCAUGGUCCCUCUGGUACAGCAGGGUAGAGUGGAAUGGGGUAAUGGAAGGAGUCAUCAAAACUAGGAGGCCCAACAGGCCUUGGCCCUGAAGCCUUAUA